UGAAUUUCCUAUACCUUUGUGUUCCUGUUCGUCUCCCUACGAUGUUGCACUGUGACAACAAGGCAGCAAUCAGCAUUGCACAUAACCGAGUACAGCAUGAUCGUACCAAGCAUGUUGAGAUUGACAGACACUUCAUCAAGGAGAAGUUAGAGAGUG